AUUUUUUGCUUGCUUUCCAAGAGAAUCUUCAAUAAUCGGCGUCUUAAUGGAAAAGGGAGAAGGAAACUAUUCGUUGAGACUUUAAAUUUAAGUUUAUCGCGGGAUUUUUAACGACUUUCACCGGUUUCGUAAAGCGGUCGUUUGUUUUGGCGCAAUGCGGAAGUGUCGUCUUGAUGCAGUUUUUUGGCUAAAAAGUUGACGAAUUCUUCGUCUCACAAAGUCUGUCAUUUGUUUUACGUUUGCCAUCAGUUUUAGGCAGUAACUGUUAGCUAUCGAGAGUACCGAAACAGACUGUGAAGUAUUUCUAUAGAUCUAAAUAUGGUUCGUAAAAAAGGACAUUUUGUCUGGCAUUCGGAAUUCCUACACUAGUGAUCCAUGAGGACUUUAUCUAGUUUCCAGAAUGGCAGGAAGGAAGGACUUAUUGAAUUAGACCACUUGACAAGGCAGCUUACAAAAGUCAGAAAUUUAAAAGCAGCCACUGGGCGACAGUAAAUUAAAGCUUGUCAUUGACAAUGUCAACAUUUUCCAUAAAAUUUCCAAAAUAAAUACUGGAAAAAAAACAACAUGGAAAUACAUACGACAUCAACACAAAAUAGCACAGCACCAGAAUGAAUGCGGAAGUUGUCAUGAGUGGUGUGGCAUUGUUCCUGUUCAUUUAUGGUUUACAGAUUCCAAAAGUCUGAACCAGAUAUGAGUAGAGUACAGUUUGAGAAAUGUCUUGGUAGAACAGAUACUAAGGAAAUAAUAAAGAGCAGAACAGACCACAUUUCUCCUUCUUAUAACUGGUAAAGUUCGAAGUAAGGGCGAGUACAAUAAUGCAGCCCCAGUGAGAGUUCGUGAUGAGGUGUCAACUGUAAAUGUGUGGUCGUUAAAUGAUGUGCAGUCAGAUUGACAAGUAUUUGAAGUAACAUUAAUUUAUAAAUUAUCAAUUCUGAGAGAAAUUUUUGCUGAGCUUUGUGCAGGAUACUCUUAAAAAAUACGUGAACCAGAAUUUUAUAUUAUAAGUACAAUGUCAGAUGUACUCCAGACUUCACACAUAUGUUGAUGUUUAUACAUAUGUGGUGAUUAAUUUGUCAAGUGAAGAAAUUUUAUGAAUAAUGUUAGUGGGUGACAGAACAGAAGUACAAAGUCAAUUACAGAGGUCGACAACACUGAGUUUAGGA
rnacentral:lncRNA from 1 species